GGGUGCGAUCAUACCAACACAGCUGCACCGAAUCCCGUCCAAACUUCGUAGUUAAGUGUGCUUGGGUGAGAGUAGUAUUAGGAUAGGUGACCCCCUGGGAAGUCCUCAUGUCGCACCUU